CUUUCAGUAUCUUUUUGGCUGCAUAAUGUUAUUUCGCAAUGAAGAAAAACUAAGGACAUAUUGUAGACCGGCUUAAACACAAAGCUGAAUCUUUUUCUUUCCAUCUCUGCAUGAGGCACAAGGAAAUCAAGCUUCUGAGGACUGUAGAACUUCACAGAAUCCUCCUUUGGACAAAUAUUUUCGAUAAUGGUGUAGUAAUCUGAAGAGGAAACGGGGUCCGACGAUGGAGAAAUAUAGCAGAAACACUUACUAUACUGUCAACAUGGAGACACUUGGGGCGAAUCCUUCACUGCUUCUCAUACCCAUAACAUUACUGUUGGAGAGAAUGCAUACAGUGCCUCUGCAGUGAAUAACAGGGCUCAAUCCUUUAAUUGUAACAUUAUCAACUGAUCUUUAAACAACUAAAUGAAAGAACUUCAGAAUGUAAAUUCAAACAGCAUACCCGAACAAUUUUUGGUCUGUUUUGAACUGGGUCGUCGCCAUCUCCGGGGAAGCCAUUGUCUCCUGAUUCUUCAUUAUCACCAUACCAUCCACUUUCUUCAAAGGGGUACUCUGGCUGUAUCACAAACUAUUAGGAAAAAUUUCAGUGAUUUAGAAAAAUCAUUUUGUAUUAGUUGAUUUCCCAAAGCAUUGUUCAUAAAAGAAUAAGUAAAAUAAAAUGCUUUUU